rnacentral:rRNA from 1 species
GCCAGACUCCUACGGGAGGCAGCAGUGGGGGAUAUUGCACAAUGGGGGGAACCCUGAUGCAGCGACGCCGCGUGGGUGAAGGAGUGCUUCGGCAUGUAAAGCCCUAUCAGCAGGGAAGAAAAUGACGGUACCUGACUAAGAAGCCCCGGCUAACUACGCGCCAGCAGCCGCGGUAAUACGUAGGGGGCAAGCGUUAUCCGGAUUUACUGGGUGUAAAGGGAGCGUAGACGGCGCUGCAAGUCCGGAGUGAAAGCCCAUGGCUUAACCAUGGUACUGCUCUGGAAACUGUGGAGCUUGAGUGCGGGAGGGGCAGGCGGAAUUCCUAGUGUAGCGGUGAAAUGCGUAGAUAUCAGGAGGAACACCGGUGGCGAAGGCGGCCUGCUGGACUGCGACUGACGUUGAGGCCCGAAAGCGUGGGGAGCAAACAGGAUUAGAUACCCCUGUAA